rnacentral:lncRNA from 1 species
AUCUUAAUAAAAAUAUAAAAAAAUAAUAAUAAUAAAAAUAUGAAGUCAAGAAAGCAAGAUCUUAUUCCUUCAUGAUUGAUGACUCUCUUUUGUCACUCUUUCUAGACCAACUGGUCGGUCAACAUAAUGUAUCAAUGAAAUUAAGAAAAGCAAUAAUUUCAAAAUAAAUUUAUGAUAUCUAAUCUAAUAUAUAUAUAUAUAUUAAAAUAGAGGCCUUCCAAUAGAAAAGCACCAUUUGCUGCAUGGGGUGUUGGGAC